AAAGAAAAGAAAAUCAUGAGCGUAAUUUGAUUAUUGAAUCAAAUAUCCCUAAAAUUAUGAGAUAAUUGAAUAUGAAAUUAAAACUCUUUUCCCUGGGCCUAGGGCGGCCGCACCUCCUGCCCUGCCUCAGGGACGGGCCUGACAACUUAUUAUGUACAAUUUCAUCUCUCUCAACUCAUUUUCCGCGGGAAAGUUUAGUUCAGAGUGAUAAUAUAGAUGCCCAAAUUGUAUCAUUAUGCAAAAAAGACCAAUCUUUUGCAGCAGCAGCUGCAUUAUUUGACAAUGCCUUCAAUUCAGGGACAACCCCUUCUGCCCAAACAUGUAAUUUCCUCGUUAAUGAGCUUAGGGAUGCAGGGGAGCAUAAAUUAGCAUAUUCGGUGUAUAAGAAAAUGACCCAUGUUGGUGUUCAGCCAUUGUUCUAUUCACUGUCUGCCCUGGUUGAGUAUUUGGUGAGAUCGCCCGAGCCUGCUUACGCUUUAGGGGCUGUUGGGUUGUUAUGGAAGCGUGGUUUUGGGGUCAAAGUAUACCUCAUGAAUAUUGUACUGAAGGGUUUGUGUCGAAAUGGGGAAAUAGAUAGAGCAAUGCAGGUUUUGCAAGAAAUGUACAACAACUCUAUAAUGCCUGAUGUUAUUAGCUACAAUACAGUAACCAAUGCUCUUUGUAAGGCAAAGAGGGUGGUGGAUGCGUCGAAUUUGAUGGAUCAAAUGAAGAGAGCUGGUUGCUGUCCUGAUUUGACGUCGUAUACUAUUAUUUUAGAUGGCUUGUGUAAAAUGGGUAAGGUGGAAGAUGCGAUGGGAUUGAUGGAAGAGAUGAAGGAAAACAAUUUUGAUGUGGAUGUUGUUGCUUAUAGUGCUCUCAUCAAAGGUUUUUGCAUGCAAGGAAAUGCUGAUAAAGUUGAAGAGCUCUUUCAUGAAAUGUUGGAAAGGGGAGUGACUCCAAAUGUAGUCUCUUAUUCGUGUGUAUUGCAUUUUUUUUCCACAGUGGGCCGGUGGGAAAAAGUUACAGCAAUGGUAAAAGAUAUGACGAGAAGGGGGAUACAUCCUGAUGCAACUACAUAUUCAGGUCUAAUUGAUGGACUCUGCAGAAAUCAGAAGACUACAAAAGCUAUUGCCAUGUUGAAGUUGAUGCUAGAGAAGGGUGAAGAACCACUUGCUGCAACAUACAAUAAUGUGAUCAGUGCUCUUUGCAAAGAUCGUUUGGUAUCCGAGUCUUUUGAUGUAUUGAAAAUGAUGAUGGAUAAGGGGAAGAAGCCCGACUUGUUUACAUACACUACAUUGCUCAAAAGUCUUCUUGAAAUUGGUAAAGUUGAUGAUGCGAUAAUGAUUUUUAAUUCAGUAUUUGAAGAUGAAGCUUAUGUUCAGCCAGAUGCUAUGGCAUUCAAUACAAUGAUCAUAGGGCUUUGCAAGGAAGGUUGCCUUAGUAAGGCUGAAGAAUUUUACCGUAAGAUGGUUGUAGCAGGAAUCUGUGGGGAUGAGGUCACUUAUAGCACACUCAUUGGGGUGUAUCUGAAGGCAGGAAAUGUUUAUGAAUGUCUGGAGAUAUGGAAAAACAUGCUGAGGGAGAGAAUACUUCCAACUUCAUACACAUAUGGCAUUUUGAUCGAUGGUUUCUGCAAGUUGCGUAUGAUUAACAUUGCAAAAGGUCUUUUAUUGAAAUUGAAAGACUUUGGUCUUAGUCCCCGAAGUGUGGACUAUAAUACGUUGAUGACAGCAUUGUGUAAAGAAGGUAGUGUGGAUCAGGCAAGGAUGUUAUUCAAAAAUAUGAAGGAAACAAACUGUGAACCAUGUAUUAUCUCAUUUAUGGUGAUGAUUCAAGGAGCCCUUAUAUCUGGUGAUUUCCAUUAUGGCAAAACCCUACUCACCGAUAUGCUUCAAAGGGGUUUGGCUCCUGAUGCUAUUUUGUUUUCCACGCUAAUUGGGAGGUUCUCAGACGCCGGACUGAUGGAUGAGGCCAAGCAACUUUUUGAAAGGAUGGUUGCUAAAGGCUUCACACCUACUACUGAUGUUUAUCAGAAUUUGCUUAUGGGGUAUUGUUUAACGGGGGAUAUGAAUGAACUUAUUAAUUUGCUUCAUCAAAUGGCAGCUGAUAAUCUUGAGCUAAACUCAGAGAUGAGAGCAACAAUCUUGACAUGUCUCUGUCAUUGUACUGAUUUGAAUAUGGUGGAUCUUCUUCCGACAUUCUCUCAAGAAGCUCUAAAAGAAGAUGGCAUCCCUUGCAAUGAUUUUCUUGAAAAUCUUCACAAGUUCCAUUCUAAAAUCCCAAAUCUUGCUUCUUAAUGCCCUUCCAGGAAAAAAAUUUAGCUUGUAUGAUGGCUAGUAAGUCCAUUCUCUUAUUCUGUCAUGUUUAUUUUUGAUUUCAAUAAACCUCUUUGUAUCUAUGGUUCUCUCUUUUUGUAUACAGUUGUCUGCCUUGGCUGCGGAUACAAAUAGAACUCACCUUAAAUCUGAUCUUGUUUCUGUUCUUGCUGAAUUUCAACGCCAAGAUCAAGUUUUUCUCUCAAUGAAAGUGGGAUUCACUAGGGUAUUACUAGGAUAGUGCCCAAUUACCUACUGACCAGGGGAGCGGGGAGCCUGGCCAUUUGCUAUAGCCACUCCUGCAAGCUGCUGUCAGAUUUCAGGUGUAAUGGUUAUGACUUGUAAGGGUUCUCAUUAUGAUUUAUCCGUAAUCAGUUGUAUGAUGUGGUGCGGAAAGAGAUAUGGUACCGUCCAGACAUGUUCUUCUACAGGGACAUGCUCAUGAUGCUUGCAAGGAACAAAAA